rnacentral:rRNA from 1 species
UUUAGUACAGUGGGGGAAACGCUGAUCUAGCCAUCCCGCGUGUAUGAUGUAGGCCUUCGUGUCGUAUAGUACUUCUGGCAGAGACGCAACGGUAUCUCCUAAUAUGAGAUACUGCUUACGGUACAUGCAGAAUAAGCACCGGCUAACUAAGUGACAGCACCAGCGGCAAUACGUAGGGUGCAAGCGUUAAUCGGAAUUCAUGGGCUUAAAGCGUAUGUAGGCGGUUCGGAAAGAAAGAUGUGAAAGCCAAGGGCUCAACCUUGGAACUGCAUUUUUAACUGCCGAGCUAGAGUAUGUGAGAGGGAGGGAGAAUUCCACGUGUAGCAGUGAAAUGCGUAGAUAUAUGGAGGAAUACCGAUGGCAAAGGCAGCCCCCUGGGAUAAUACUGACGCUCAGACACGAAAGCGUGGGGAGCAAACAGG